rnacentral:rRNA from 1 species
UACGUAGGUGGCAAGCGUUAUCCGGAUUUAUUGGGCGUAAAGGGAGCGCAGGCGGUCUUUUAAGUCUGAUGUGAAAGCCUUCGGCUUAACCGGAGUAGUGCAUUGGAAACUGGGAGACUUGAGUGCAGAAGAGGAGAGUGGAACUCCAUGUGUAGCGGUGAAAUGCGUAGAUAUAUGGAAGAACACCAGUGGCGAAAGCGGCUCUCUGGUCUGUAACUGACGCUGUGGUUCGAAAGCGUGGGUAGCAAACAGG